AACCCGUGUGGGGAAACCUCACGGGGGCCUGUGGUAACGACACAGGGGACGGUAACAGACGAUCCGGAUAGUUCUGCCUGGCAGAGAGGAUGGGUAAUCCGCAGCGAAGCCCCUACGUCGCGCCCCCCUCGGGGGGGGCUCGAUACGGGGAACGUUCACAGACUAAGUGGAAGUGGGUGGGGUCCCCCGGGACCCUGCUUAAGAUAUAGUCGGGCCACCUGGGAGACCAGGUGGGAAGUACACCGCUACGAACCGUUCCGUAGGUGAACCUGCGGAAGGAUCAUUA
rnacentral:rRNA from 1 species